UGAAACAGCGGUUCUCCAACGAUCACCGAAGUUAAGCAACUUUGAGCCGGAUCAGUAACUAAAUGGGUGACUACUUGAGAAUACUAGGUGCUGUGA